rnacentral:rRNA from 1 species
AGUGAGUAUGAGAAGGGCAUUCGGUGGAUGCCUUGGCACUAGGAGGCGACGAAGGACGUAGCACGCUGCG